rnacentral:rRNA from 1 species
UAAGCGUGUAGGUGUGUGUUCCAGGUAAAUCCGGUUCACUUUAACACUGAGGCGUGAUGACGAGGCACUACGGUGCUGAAGCAACAAAUGCCCUGCUUCCAGGAAAAGCCUCUAAGCAUCAGGUAACAUCAAAUCGUACCCCAAACCGACACAGGUGGUCAGGUAGAGAAUACCAAGGCGCUUGAGAGAACUCGGGUGAAGGAACUAGGCAAAAUGGUGCCGUAACUUCGGGAGAAGGCACGCUGACAC